AGCGAACGCUGGCGGCAGGCUUAACACAUGCCAGUCGAACGGGCAUCUUCGGAUGUCAGUCGCAGACGGGUGAGUAACACGUGGGAACGUACCCUUCGGUUCGGAAUAACUCAGGGAAACUUGAGCUAAUACCGGAUACGCCCUUUUGGCGACAGGUUUACUGCCGAAGGAUCGGCCCGCGUCUGAUUAGCUGGUUGGUGGGGUAACGGCCUACCAAGGCGACGAUCAGUAGCGGGUCAGAGAGGAUGAUCAGCCACACUGGGACUGAGACACGGCCCAGAAUCCUACGGGAGGCAGCAGAGGGGAAUAUUGGACAAUGGGCGCAAGCAUGAUCCGGCCAUGCCGCGUGAGUGAUGAAGGCCUGAGGGUUGUAAAGCUCUUUUGUCCGGGACGAUAAUGACGGUACCGGAAGAAUAAGCCCCGGCUAACUUCGUG
rnacentral:rRNA from 1 species